AAAAGCAGACUUGUUCUGCGAUGGCGUGCCUUUUGAAGAAUGAGCCAACGAGUUACGGUGUGUGGCAAGGUUAACCCGAUCAGGGGAAGCCGGAGCGAAAGCGAGUCUGAACAGGGCGUUCAGUCGCAUGCCGUAGACCCGAAGCCGAGUGAGCUAUCCAUGGGCAGUGUGAAGCGGAGGUAAGACUCUGUGGAGGCGCGAACCGACUUCAGUUGAAAAUGGAGCGGAUGACCUGUGGAUAGGGGUGAAAGGCCAAUCAAACUCGGUGAUAGCUGGUUCUCCGCGAAAUGCAUUUAGGUGCAGCGUCGUGCGUUCAACGAUGGGGGUAGAGCACUGAAUGGGCUAGGGGUCCUACAAGACUACCGACCCCAAUCAAACUCCGAAUACCAUCGUUCCAGAGCACGGCAGUGAGACCUCGGGGGAUGAGCUUCGAGGUCGAGGGGGAAACAGCCCAGACCGCCGGCUAAGGUCCCAAAAUCUGAACUAAGUGGUAAACGAUGUGAGAUUGCGAAGACAGCCAGGAGGUUGGCUUGGAAGCAGCCAUCCUUGAAAGAGUGCGUAACAGCUCACUGGUCGAGUGAUCUUGCGCGGACAAUGUAACGGGGCUCAAGUUCAGUACCGAAGCCGCGGAUGCGACUCUUUGAGUCGUGUGGUAGCGGAGCGUCGAGCGUGCAGCGAAGCGGCGGGACAACCCAGCCGUGGAGCGCGUUCGAGUGCGAAUGUUGGCAUGAGUAGCGAAUGAGGGGUGAGAACCCCCUCCGCCGUAUGUCCAAGGGUUCCUGGGCGAGGCCAAUCCUCCCAGGGUGAGUCGGGAGCUAAGGCGAGGCCGAGAGGCGUAGUCGAUGCACAACUGGUUGAUAUUCCAGUACCACCAUGUUCGCGUCCGUCCCAAUACUCUGUUGCUAAGGGGCUGUGUUGACUUCGGUCAACGCGAACCGACCCACAUUGUUGCGGGAAGCUGUAGGGGGACGCAGGAAGGUAGAUGAACCCGGUGAAUGGUAGAACCGGGGUAAGCGUGUAGGAGGAGGACCAGGUAAAUCCGGGCCUCAUAAACUCUGAGACGUGAUACCGAGCCGCUUCAGGCGAAGUCAUUGAUCCUAUGCUGCCUAGAAAAGCCCAGCAGCGAGUUGACAUGGUGCCCGUACCCCAAACCAACACAGGUGGACAGGUAGAGCAUACCAAGGCGAGUGGGAUAACUAUGGUUAAGGAACUCGGCAAAUUGCCUCCGUAACUUCGGGAGAAGGAGGACCCCAGUAGCGUGAUGAGACUUGCUCUCUGAGCGUGAAGGGGUGGCACAAAAUUGAGGGAAGCGACUGUUUACCAAAAACACAGCAGCGUGCUAAGCCGUAAGGCGCUGUAUACGCUGUGACUCUGCCCGGUGCUGGAAGGUUACGGGGAUGGGUUAGUCCUUCGGGACGAAGCUCUGAACCUAAGCCCCAGUAAACGGCGGCCGUAACUAUAACGGUCCUAAGGUAGCGAAAUUCCUUGUCGGGUAAGUUCCGACCUGCACGAAUGGAGUAACGACUUCCCUACUGUCUCAACCAUAGACCCAGCGAAAUUGAAGUACGAGUAAAGAUGCUCGUUAGCUGCAGAAGGACGGAAAGACCCCGUGGACCUUUACUAUAACUUGAUGUUGUGUUU
rnacentral:rRNA from 1 species